rnacentral:rRNA from 1 species
GUGGGGAAUUUUGGACAAUGGGCGAAAGCCUGAUCCAGCAAUGCCGCGUGUAGGAUGAAGGCCCUCGGGUUGUAAACUACUUUUGUACGGAACGAAAAGACUCUUUCUAAUAAAGAGGGUCCAUGACGGUACCGUAAGAAUAAGCACCGGCUAACUACGUGCCAGCAGCCGCGGUAAUACGUAGGGUGCAAGCGUUAAUCGGAAUUACUGGGCGUAAAGCGUGCGCAGGCGGUUAUGUAAGACAGAGGUGAAAUCCCCGGGCUCAACCUGGGAACGGCCUUUGUGACUGCAUAGCUAGAGUACGGUAGAGGGGGAUGGAAUUCCGCGUGUAGCAGUGAAAUGCGUAGAUAUGCGGAGGAACACCGAUGGCGAAGGCAAUCCCCUGGACCUGUACUGACGCUCAUGCACGAAAGCGUGGGGAGCAAACAGGAUUAGAUACCCUUGUAGUCC